UACGUAGGUGGCAAGCGUUGUCCGGAAUUAUUGGACGUAAAGCGCGCGCAGGCGGCCUUUUAAGUCUGAUGUGAAAGCCCACGGCUCAACCGUGGAAGGUCAUUGGAAACUGAAAGGCUUGAGUACAGAAGAGGAAAGCGGAAUUCCACGUGUAGCGGUGAAAUGCGUAGAGAUGUGGAGGAACACCAGUGGCGAAGGCGGCUUUCUGGUCCGUAACUGACGCUGAGGCGCGAAAGCGUGGGGAGCAAACAGG
rnacentral:rRNA from 1 species